rnacentral:rRNA from 1 species
UCCGGUGGCUCUAGCGAAAGGGAAACACCCGUUCCCAUUCCGAACACGGCAGUUAAGCCUUUCAGCGCCGAUGGUACUGCAUGGGAGACCGUGUGGGAGAGUAGGUCGCCGCCGGGA